UACAGAGACUGCAAGCGUUAUUCGGAUUCACUGGGCGUAAAGGGUGCGCAGGCGGCCGUGUGUGUCAGGUGUGAAAGCCCGGAGCUUAACUCCGGAAUUGCGCCUGAAACUACAUGGCUAGAGCAUUGGAGAGGGUAGCGGAAUUCACGGUGUAGCAGUGAAAUGCGUAGAUAUCGUGAGGAACACCAGUGGCGAAGGCGACUACCUGGCCUGUUCUUGACGCUGAGGCGCGAAAGCUAGGGGAGCAAACGGG
rnacentral:rRNA from 1 species